UAUUUGCGAAGUAAGAUAUUCAUGAUAUUGUUAUUACAGAGUGCUCCUUUGAGAUAGAAGACGAUGAUGGAGCUAAAGUUCUUGCAAGCCCAGUUGCAGCCAAGAAGACUAAAAGCAGCUCAAAUGAGAUAUCUUUGUUGAAGGUUAAAUGGUCUGAAGAUGAGACAGAAGCAAUCAAAUGCUUCCUCCAAGGUACAUCUUUGAUAGAAAAGACAACAAUACUGGUAACCUACCUAGUAA